GGGACGGGCCGCGCCGGGCAGGCCGCGGCUCAGCGCCUGCUUACCGCUCCAGAGUUUCCCUCCAGGACAGAACCAAAGCAAAGAGGAAACCAAGAGGAAAGAGCAGGAAACACAAGGCAUGAGAGGUGGUCUGCAGAGACAGGAAGACUGAGGGCUGUUGCUGCUCGAAUAGCUGGGAGAUGACAGGCACAGCUGAUGCUCAGUGUCUCAGAAAAUACUUUUCAGGAGCAACGAUUGCCAGCAUGGACAAGUGCUGGUGUGGGGCUAUUAAUGCUUUCAAAGAAGAGAAUGAAAUCUCAGCUGGAGACUCCAUUCAAAGACAGGCUGAGGUGCCCUUCCAAAUGCUCUGCAGUGCAGCUCCCCUGCUGCCAUUUAUCACAUCAAUUCACAUCAUCUCAUCAUGAUACCUAGUUCCCCACUGAAUAUCAGGAUGUGGAACUGACCAUGAGCACAUUUAUUUACUACAGCCAGAGCUGCCAGAGAGCCUGGAGGAUUAUUCUGCACAGAGCUAUAAAUGAUGCCCCAUAUUAAUGAUUGCUUUCACUGAUCUUUGGAGGAAAAUUCCAGAGUGACUCGUGAAGAUGAGAUUUCCAUUUCUACAUCUCAAAUAAACAGCUGCAUGUCAAAAUCCUAGAAA